CCAAUAGCGUGUAUUAAAGUUGCUGCAGUUAAAAAGCUCGUAGUUGAAUUUCGGGACUAAUAUGUUGGUCGUGCCUCGGUACGUACUGAUAUUUUUGGUUUCUCCCUUCUGUCGAACCUUGAUGUCAUUAAUUUGGUGUCUUGGGAAAUCAGGACUGUUACUUUGAAAAAAUUAGAGUGUUUAAAGCAGGCUCACGCUUGAAUACAUUAGCAUGGAAUAAUGAAAUAGGACGUUUGAUUCUAUUUUGUUGGUUUCUAGGAUCGACGUAAUGAUUAAUAGGGAUAGUUGGGGGCAUUAGUAUUCAAUUGUCAGAGGUGAAAUUCUUGGAUUUAUUGAAGACUAACUACUGCGAAAGCAUUUGCCAAGGAUGUUUUCAUUAAUCAAGAACGAAAGUUAGGGGAUCGAAGACGAUCAGAUACCGUCGUAGUCUUAACCAUAAACUAUGCCGACUAGGGAUCGGAUGAUGUUAAUUUUUUAAUGACUCAUUCGGCGCCUUACG
rnacentral:rRNA from 1 species